rnacentral:rRNA from 1 species
AGGUGGCUUCCCUUUGUCCACGCCAUUGUAACACGUGUGUCGCCCCGGAUGUAAGGGCCGUGCUGAUUUGACGUCAUCCCCGCCUUCCUCGCAGCUUACGCUGGCAGUCCCACCAGAGUCCUCAGCUUUACCUGUUAGUAACUAGUGGCAAGGGUUGCGCUCGUUAUGGCACUUAAGCCGACACCUCACGGCACGAGCUGACGACAACCAUGCAGCACCUCGCAAACGGCUAUUGCUAGAAAAGGUGUUUCCACCUCGGUCCGAAUGCGUUCAAACCCGGGUAAGGUUCCUCGCGUAUCAUCGAAUUAAACCACAUGUUCCUCCGCUUGUGCGGGCCCCCGUCAAUUCCUUUGAGUUUCACCGUUGCCGGCGUACUCCCCAGGUGGAUCACUUAACGCUUUCGCUGUGCCGCUUACAGUGUAUCGCAAACAGCUAGUGAUCAUCGUUUACUGCGUGGACUACCAGGGUAUCUAAUCCUGUUUGAUCCCCACGCUUUCGUGCAUCAGCGUCAGUCAUGGCUUGGCAGGCUGCCUUCGCAAUCGGGGUUCUGCGUGAUAUCUAUGCAUUUCACCGCUACACCACGCAUUCCGCCUGCCUCAAACAUACUCAAGCCCCCCAGUUUCAACGGCAAUUCUAUGGUUGAGCCACAGACUUUCACCGCUGACUUAAAAGGCCGCCUACGCACCCUUUAAACCCAAUAAAUCCGGAUAACGCUCGGAUCCUCCGUAUUACCGCGGCUGCUGGCACGGAGUUAGCCGAUCCUUAUUCAUAAGGUACAUACAAAACGGGACACGUCCCGCACUUUAUUCCCUUAUAAAAGAGGUUUACGAUCCAUAGAACCUUCAUCCCUCACGCGACUUGGCUGGUUCAGCCUCUCGGCCAUUGACCAAUAUUCCUCACUGCUGCCUCCCGUAGGAGUUUGGUCCGUGUCUCAGUACCAAUGUGGGGGACCUUCCUCUCAGAACCCCUAUCCAUCGUCGGUUUGGUGGGCCGU